CAGCCGCCGCGGGAAUACGUAGGGUACAAGCGUUAAUCGGAAUUACUGGGCGUAAAGCGUGCGCAGGCGGUGUUGUAAGACUGAUGUGAAAUCCCCGGGCUCAACCUGGGAACUGCAUUGGUGACUGCAACGCUGGAGUGCGGCAGAGGGGGAUGGAAUUCCGCGUGUAGCAGUGAAAUGCGUAGAUAUGCGGAGGAACACCGAUGGCGAAGGCAGCCCCCUGGGCCAAUACUGACGCUCAUGCACGAAAGCGUGGGGAGCAAACAGGAUUAGAUACCCCGGUAGUCCCUGUCUCUUAUAC
rnacentral:rRNA from 1 species